rnacentral:lncRNA from 1 species
CUCAGGAGGGUUUCUGGAUGCCAACGAGACCCCAGCCACAGCCGGUCCCCAGAUUCUUGACAUCAUCACAAGAAAGAAUUCACAGGGUUGCUUCAGCGUCCUCACAACAGGAUGGCUGACUUCCCCAAGAGAGCAGCUCAAGAGAGAGCAAGGAGAAAGACACAACAUCUUUAAUGAUCUAUGCUUGGAAGCUAUAUGUUGCCACUUUUGCAAUAUCCUACAGAUCGCUUAGCUCCAUCCAACAUGGAAAGGGAUCAGACACGGGCAUCAUUGCCAGAUGAUAAUCCCUGAUGGUCAUCUUGGAUGCUGGCCACCACAGUUACAUUUGAGAGAUGGGGUUUAGCCAUGUUGCCCAGGAUCCUGGGCU